AGACAAAAAAUUGAGGCAAGUGCUCGGAAGGAAAUGAUCUCUAAAUUCAGGUCCAAGCUGCACGAAGGACAUGUCUAUAGGAUAUCUAAUUUUACAUUUGUGUCCAACAGUGACAACUUCAUGGCUUCUGACCAUGAAUUCAAGCUACUUUCAAUGAAAGAACACAGACAAUACUUGAGGAAUCCCCUGCCAUAGAAUGUCUUUUCGUUCAAAAAUUCUGAGGAAAUAUUAGCAACUGGUGGUGAAUCUGACUACCUAAUUGGUAUGUGCUUGUCCUACACCUCAAUACUCCAUUUAAAUCGCAUUUUUAACUAUCCCAUUUCCCAAUUGUGAAUUCUGAUCAUUUUCUAUUUCUAAUGAUUCAAUUGCUUAUAGACAUGAUUGGAUUAGUCACCAAUGUUUCAAGUGAGAAGCAAUAUCCUAAAGCUGGCAAAGUAACCAGGAUGAUUGAGCUUGAGAUUACGGAUGUUAAACAUGUUUCUAUAUACAAUGUUCAAUGUUUAUUUGCUAUCAUUGUUGGUGGCUGACUAUAUGAAUUCUUCUCAUCCUACUGUAGGGGAGAAAUUAAUUGUGCUUUCUUUGGCAACUAUGUUGACAUUGCUGUGGUAGAGGUUCAAACUCCGAGGAAGAUGAUCAGCCGUGGGAACUUCUCUAAAGUCCAGAUUGGAAGCCAUGAGUCUAUUGGUGAUUAUUCUGCAAACUUGUCUAAAAUAGGACCCAAUGCUGUUUUGCUUGAUGAAAUUUCACCAUGAGAUGGAUCUGGUGUCUCUUCUUCAGUCCCGAGUGUUGGAAGUGAGGGUACUUUUCCCAAGCCUGCUGAGAAGAUGAGGCUUAGGUCUGUCAAAUUGGAGAAGGAGUAGUAGUUGCAACUGAAUAAGUUAGAAUAAGUUUUAACAGUCAGCGGCAUGCUCAAACGAAGUCUUUUGGUUGUAUUUGCAGUAGGUGAUGGCUGGCUUAGUUGUUUCAUUUCUCUAUCUGUAUUAUGUGUUCCUAUAGUAGCAGUUGGUGUUUUUUUGUAAGGUGGGAUGUUGCACUCUCAAAGUAGUAGCCACUGAUGCUUAUGUUGAAUAUAAAAUUUGUCUCUAUUCCUUUGCAAA